GUUUCAUUUUUUGGCUAUUUUCUCAAACGGUUCGAUUCUCUCGAAGUGAAACGAAAGGCGAAGGCGAUUUGAAUGGUGAUUCUGUCCUCUCGUCGACGGCGACGGCUCGAUCGGUGGAUCUCGGCGAGGAAGGGAAACAAAGACCUUUCCAUCGGUGGCUCUCAUCGACCAAAGAAAAUGCCGACGUCUCUCUCUAUCGGUGGCUCUCUGAGACGGGUAACAACGGUGUCCCUUGCGGCUGAGGUGAAUCGAAAAGGUGGAUUGAUGAAGAGGGAGAAGGAGGUAGAUGGUGUCUUGGUGUAAUUAGGAUUGAUCAAGAGACGUGAAGUGGGCACAAAACCUGUCUCUUUGUCAGACAAAAAACACGCCACCAUCAUAAAGGUGACGAGAGCUCAUGACAUGACAUGCCACGGGAGAGCUCACGAUCUUGUAUGUGUGUGUUGCUUUGUCACGAGAUAUGUAUGUAUGUGUGCAGAGCCGGCCCUGGACUAAAGCCCGUGAAGCUAGGGCUUUAGGUGCCAAUAUUCUGAUAUAAGUUAGGGGCGCCAAAUUAUUGACAAAUAUAUCUCAUUGGCCUAAUGGUUGAAGCUUUUCUGGUUUUCUCUUUGGGUGCAGCAGCGCAAGUUCGAUUCUUAAGUUUUAUCUUUCUUUAUUAUUAUUUUUCUAAUACGGUAGAGAACCUGACAGAUUUUGAUUCCUUUAUUGAUAAUCGUAGUUUCCAUGUUUAAUAUAAUUUAUUAAAUGAUUCU